rnacentral:rRNA from 1 species
UAAUACGGAGGAUGCAAGCGUUAUCCGGAUUUAUUGGGCGUAAAGCGUCCGCAGGUGGUUGUUCAAGUCUGCUGUUAAAGCGCGAGGCUUAACCUCGUACCGGCAGUGGAAACUGAGCGACUAGAGUAUGGUAGGGGUAGCGGGAAUUCCCAGUGUAGCGGUGAAAUGCGUAGAUAUUGGGAAGAACACCAGCGGCGAAAGCGCGCUACUGGGCCAUUACUGACACUCAUGGACGAAAGCUAGGGGAGCGAAAGGGAUUAGAUACCCCUGUAGUCCUAGCUGUAAACGAUGGAUACUAGGUGUUGCCCGUAUCGACCCGGGCAGUGCCGUAGCUAACGCGUUAAGUAUCCCGCCUGGGGAGUAUGCACGCAAGUGUG